GACUCAGCCCGCUCCCGGAUAAAACGGGACGGCCCGCCAGAGGACCCCUAAACUCUGUUUCUAUAUGUAACUUCUGAGUAAAACCAUAAAUAAAUCAAAACUUUCAACAACGGAUCUCUUGGUUCUGGCAUCGAUGAAGAACGCAGCAAAAUGCGAUAAGUAAUGUGAAUUGCAGAAUUCAGUGAAUCAUCGAAUCUUUGAACGCACAUUGCGCCCGCCAGUAUUCUGGCGGGCAUGCCUGUUCGAGCGUCAUUUCAACCCUCAAGCCCAGCUUGGUGUUGGGACUCGCGAGUCAAAUCGCGUUCCCCAAAUUGAUUGGCGGUCACGUCGAGCUUCCAUAGCGUAGUAGUAAAACCCUCGUUACUGGUAAUCGUCGCGGCCACGCCGUUAAACCCCAACUUCUGAAUGUUGACCUCGGAUCAGGUAGGAAUACCCGGUA
rnacentral:rRNA from 1 species